rnacentral:rRNA from 1 species
GAUGAACGCUGGCGGCGUGCCUAAUACAUGCAAGUCGAGCGAACGGACGAGAAGCUUGCUCCUCUGAUGUUAGCGGCGGACGGGUGAGUAACACGUGGAUAACCUACCUAUAAGACUGGGAUAACUUCGGGAAACCGGAGCUAAUACCGGAUGAUAUUUUUAACCGCAUGGUUCAAGAGUGAAAGACGGUCUUGCUGUCACUUAUAGAUGGAUCCGCGCUGCAUUAGCUAGUUGGUAAGGUAACGGCAUACCAAGGCAACGAUGCAUAGCCGACCUGAGAGGGUAGGCGGCCACACUGGACCUGAGACACGGUCCAGACUCCAACGGUAGGAGGCGGAGGGGAAUCUACUAUUAUUGACGGAAGCCUGGCGGGGCAACGCCGCGUGGGGGGUGAGGGGCUUGGGAUCGGAAAACUCUGUUGUUAGGAAGCGACGUAAGUGUGAGUAACUGGUCAGAUCUUGACGGUACCUAAUCAGAAAGGCACGGCUAACUACGUG